CCUACGGGUGGCAGCAGUGAGGAAUAUUGGUCAAUGGACGAGAGUCUGAACCAGCCAAGUAGCGUGAAGGAUGACUGCCCUAUGGGUUGUAAACUUCUUUUAUAUGGGAAUAAAGUGCUCCACGUGUGGGGUUUUGUAUGUACCAUAUGAAUAAGGAUCGGCUAACUCCGUGCCAGCAGCCGCGGUAAUACGGAGGAUGCGAGCGUUAUCCGGGUUUAUUGGGUUUAAAGGGAGCGUAGGGGGAUUCUUAAGGCAGUGGGAAAAUUUUGCGGCUCAAACGUCCAAGUGCGGUUGAAACUGGCGGUCUUGAGUACGGGAGAGGUAGGCGGAAUUCGUGGUGUAGCGGUGAAAUGCUUAGAUAUCACGAAGAACUCCGAUGGCGAAGGCAGCUCACUGGAGCGCAACUGACGCUGAGGCUCGAAAGUGUGGGUAUCAAACAGGAUUAGAUACCCUUGUAGUC
rnacentral:rRNA from 1 species